UUGAUGAAAUGUGGCGAGUUUCCUCAUAUCGUCCAGUUCUACACUAAAGCACAUGAAGAUUUGACUUGUGUUCAGUGGCUGCAAGAGGUUCCCAAACCACAUUCCUGCAUGCUGUCUCCUUAAUCAAACACACUUGAUUCGGAUCAUCAGCUCAUUAGUAGAGACUCCAAGACCUGAAAUGGGUGUCAGACAAAGAAGAGAUGCAAAUGUGCAGUGUUGGGUGGGACGUGGUUGGGAACCACUGCUGUAGGCCAAAAAUAUGUCAUCAAGCCAACUAAACACCGUUACAGUGAUUUUUAUUACAGGGAACAGGUGCGGCAACACACCCUUAAACCAGCGUUUCCACUGCAUAAAUCCUUCCUGGAGAUGAACACCAGUCUCCCUGAACCAGAUCAUAUCCAGAACUUCUCUUUUCCGAGGGGCCGUGUUUCACAUGGCAUCAUAAUGCUGUUUGACAAAAGGAGCCGUUUGAGAUGGCACACGGCCAGACACUUUGAACAGGAGCCAGGUGCAUGUUGGGAUGCUUUAGACAGGGUGAGAAUGACACUUGCUGUGAAAGCAGGUUGAAACAACCACCAAGGCCAUGUAGCCGAAACCAGUGAGACUCCACAGUCUGUGUUCAUCUCUAGUGGCAUUACAACUAUUAACACGUUAAAACAAUAGCAACACUCUCAUAACCACACUCAGGUUCAGAAAUUAUGGAUCGGAUCUCUAAGGAGAUAAAGUGAGAUGUAACUGUGAAUGACAGACAGGAAUCAUGUGCUUGAAAAUGUUUGCUAGCGGCCUGAUGGGACAUUCGGAUAUGAGAUGAUGAUGGUAGAGAAAGAGGAAGUAAAACUUGAGCCACAGCGCCACCUAGUGUACGCCAAAAGAUAAGCAUAAAAGCAGGCAGAGAUCAGCGCGUCAGGAGCAGAACUCUGUGGAAACAUCUCACUGCCAGGUUAAGAUCUUUUGUGUUAUCGGUGC